ensembl:ncRNA C53A5.18 ncRNA
AGAGAAAAACGAGGUGAACGGUGAAACAGUUUUGAACGAGAACAGGAGGCAGACAAAAAACGCAGCGUCGUAAGUGUGUGCGGCGUGUUUGCACACAACCGCGAGCACGCACAAUCUUGCAAAAAGGGGCGGGACGAAAACCGCCGUCAG